rnacentral:rRNA from 1 species
AAACAUGUCUUUUUGAUAAUGAUUUAAAGUUUAAUUUGCCCACUGAUNAAAUUAUUAAAGGGCUGCAGUAUUUUGACUGUACAAAGGUAGCAUAAUCAUUAGUCUCUUAAUUGGUGACUUGUAUGAAGGAUUGGAUGAGAUAUAUACUGUCUCUAAUUAAUUUAUAAAAUUUAAUUUUUUAGUAAAAAAGCUAAAAUAAUUUUAAAAGACGAGAAGACCCUAUAGAGUUUAAUAAUUUAUUUAAUUAUUAUUAAUAUAUAAAUUUUAAAAUUAAAAUUAAAUAAAUUAUUUUAUUGGGGUGAUAGAAAAAUUAAAUUAACUUUUUUUUUAUAAUAAACAUUAAUUUAUGAUUAUAUGAUCCAUUAUUAUUGAUUAUAAGAAAAAAUUACCUUAGGGAUAACAGCGUAAUUUUUUUUUUUAGUUCAAAUAGGAAAAAAAGUUUGCGACCUCGAUGUUGAAUUAAGAUAAAAUUUAAAUGCAAAAGUUUAAAAUUUUAAUCUGUUCGAUCAUUAAAAUCUUA